CACGUAGGGGGCGAGCGUUGUCCGGAUUUAUUGGGCGUAAAGAGCUCGUAGGCGGCUCGGUAAGUCGGGUGUGAAACCUCCAGGCUCAACCUGGAGACGCCACCUGAUACUGCUGUGGCUAGAGUCCGGAUGAGGGAGUGUGGAAUCCUGGUGUAGCGGUGAAAUGCGCAGAUAUCAGGAAGAACACCGGUGGCGAAGGCGGCUAUCUGGACCGACAUUGACGCUGAGGCGCGAAAGCGUGGGGAGCAAACAGG
rnacentral:rRNA from 1 species